CAGUCGCCGCGGUAAUACGUAGGGUGCAAGCGUUAAUCGGAAUUACUGGGCGUAAAGCGUGCGCAGGCGGUUUGUUAAGACAGAUGUGAAAUCCCCGGGCUCAACCUGGGAACUGCAUUUGUGACUGGCAGGCUAGAGUAUGGCAGAGGGGGGUGGAAUUCCGCGUGUAGCAGUGAAAUGCGUAGAUAUGCGGAGGAACACCGAUGGCGAAGGCAGCCCCCUGGGCCAAUACUGACGCUCAUGCACGAAAGCGUGGGGAGCAAACAGGAUUAGAUACCCGGGUAGUCCCUGUCUCUUAUAU
rnacentral:rRNA from 1 species